rnacentral:rRNA from 1 species
AGCGCUGGAAUCUGCCCGUCAACACGUUGCGCGUCGGCAUUCCGACGCCGCCGAAGCACCUCGCCGAGGAAGGCAUCGCGCUCGCCGCAUACAACGACGCGGGCCCGGCGUACCUGUUCACCUGCUGCUGAGCCGUUCAUCCGGCGAGCCGCGGCGCGGCCCGGCGCACGUUGCGCGGGCCGCGCCGCGCACGUCGAUCGCGGUAUCCGAUACGGGGGGGCGAUGCUCGACGACUUCUCGCGCGUGCUGCGUUUCAAGCCGCAUCUGCUGGUGCGCGACGCCGGUUCCGGCGCGCUGUAUGUGGUGGACGAAUUCAGGCGCUCGGUGCUGCCGGGCGACGUGUUUCCCGCGAUCGCCGCGUGCAUGCGCGAUCGCCUGACGAUCGCGCAGACGUUCGCGGCGCUCGCCGCGCGGUUUUCUCAAUGGGAGGUGCUCGCCGCGCUCGAUCAACUGGUGCGGCGCGGCUACGUGCGCGCCGAUGCACCCGGCGAGCGCGACGCCGAGCUUGCCUUCCAUGAACGCGCGGGCGUCGACGGCGAUGCGGCGAGCGGCGUCGCGUCGCGGCUUACGGUCGCCGUCGAGGCGUUCGGCGUGGACCCGCGCGCGCAGCUCGACGCGUUCGCCGCAUGCGGGAUCGGCGUUGCGCCCGACGCGCCGCUGACGGUCGCGCUCACCGACGGCUACGAUCGCGCCGAAUUGAUCGUGGCCGCCGAACGCGCGGCGGCGCGCGGCGGCGCAUUGCUCGUUGUCGUGGCCGAUCGCGUGGAGCCGCUGAUCGGCCCGUUGCUCGGCGCUGCGGCGGGCUUGGCGGCAUCGACGGCGCCGACGGCACCGUCGACAUCGCCCGCGCCGCAGGACGCCGCCGACGCGCCGCCCUGCAUCGAAUGCGUGCGCUACUGGACGGCGCUGAACCAUCCCGUCGAGACGCUGCUCGCGCGCCUGCACGGCGGCGACGCGGCGCGCCUGCCGCCCGCGCGCAGCCGUGCGAGCGCCGCCGCCGUCGCGGCCGUCGUCGCGUCGUUCGUCGAGCAGAUCGCGGUGAACGCGCAGCGCCGCCGUCAUGCGGGCUCGCAUAUCGUGUCGCUGCGCGUCGAUACGCUGGCCACCGCCGCGCAUCGCGUCGUCAGGCGGCCGCAAUGUCCGCGCUGCGCUCACGCGGGAUGGAUGCGCGAGCAGGCCGAGCGCCCGGUGACGCUCGCGUCGGCGGAUGCAGGCGCGCGCCGCGACGGCGGCUAUCGGACGCUUGCCGCCGCCGAGCUAUUCAAACGCUACGGACAUCUGAUUUCCCCGGUGAGCGGGCCGAUCGCCUAUCUGCAUCCGAUGCCGGGGCGCAACGCCGGCAUGCGGCACAUGUACGUCGCGGGC